rnacentral:lncRNA from 1 species
CGCCGAGGCUCCGCUCACCGGCCCUGCGCCUCGGCGCGCGCAGUCGCAGCACGCGCUGUUUGCGCAGGGCCGGUGCCGUGGAGGCGGGGCAAGGACACUACUAGGGAAGGCAUUUCUCUUCCCUGACGCGAAAAGCAAGGGCGUCACUCUGGAACUAAGCAUGCUGAUAAUGUGUACACCAAGCCCCCAGAGGUAGGAAGGUACCUUAGGGCUCAAGAAGAGAAACCAGUAAGUACCUUUAAUUUUCCUACUUUGAUCUGUCUUUUUUGUCUCUAGUGCCGGGUUUCUUAACCUUUUUUG